rnacentral:rRNA from 1 species
GAUGAACGCUGGCGGCGUGCCUAAUACAUGCAAGUCGAGCGAACAGACGAGGAGCUUGCUCCUCUGACGUUAGCGGCGGACGGGUGAGUAACACGUGGAUAACCUACCUAUAAGACUGGGAUAACUUCGGGAAACCGGAGCUAAUACCGGAUAAUAUAUUGAACCGCAUGGUUCAAUAGUAAAAGACGGUUUUGCUGUCACUUAUAGAUGGAUCCGCGCCGCAUUAGCUAGUUGGUAAGGUAACGGCUUACCAAGGCGACGAUGCGUAGCCGACCUGAGAGGGUGAUCGGCCACACUGGAACUGAGACACGGUCCAGACUCCUACGGGAGGCAGCAGUAGGGAAUCUUCCGCAAUGGGCGAAAGCCUGCCGGAGCAACGCCGCGUGAGUGAUGAAGGUCUUCGGAUCGUAAAACUCUGUUAUUAGGGAAGAACAAAUGUGUAAGUAACUAUGCACGUCUUGACGGUACCUAAUCAGAAAGCCACGGCUAACUACGUG